rnacentral:tRNA from 1 species
GGAGAGGUCGCAUAGUGGCCUAGUGCGCGCGCUUGGAAAGCGCGUAUGGUCGAAAGACCAUCGAGGGUUCGAAUCCCUCCCUCUCCGCCA